rnacentral:lncRNA from 1 species
AGUCCAUAGUGACCAAUAGUGCUUGAGAAAGUCUUUGAAAUGUUGUAUCUUGUUCACAGAAGUCUACCAAGAACUUGCCCAAAAGCGUGACGCAUUUAGCCGAGGGGAGGACUUAUGGUCUGUUACAGUGUCCCAGAAAAAAAGCAGAAAGACAGGAAAUCAAGCAAAGGAGGUGGUAACCUUACGGAAUCAAGCCACGACAUCUGGUUCACAGGCGGCAACUGCCAUGUGCGACAAGCUUAAGAGCUACCUCCAUUCCAAGAGAACCGCCAAGCAGAGCACACCCCUCCGUAGCUCUACUCCUGCUCCAGAUCACUCUGAUGACUCGGAUGAAACAUCCUGUGAUUUAUUUGGGCCGUUCAAAAGGCGGAAGGUGGUACUAACAAGUGAGGAGGAGGGAGAUGACUGCAUUCCACAGGAGGAGCCAGAGCACCAGACGGAGCCAGAGGGCCAGCAGCAACCAGUGAAGGUUCUGGUGGAACUAGAGGAGGAGACUUUGAAGGCUCUGAAAGAGCUUCCAGGAUUGGUUGCUGCCAUCAAAACAGCACUGGAGAAACUACCAUCAGCAUGCACCAGUUCCACCCUCAGCCAGAGUGACUGCCAGCAAACUCCAGGAUCUGAAACUAGCGGUGACGACUUGAUGUUCCUGGGCAACUCCGCCGUCCAGGUCUCAAAACGGCUCUUCAAUAGAAUCGGCAGCAGACGUUUGUCGCUUUUCACACAGGAGCUGGCCACAAUGAUCUUUGGGAAAGAGACCCUGGCCAAGUCAACCCUUACUGGAAAGGGGAAAAAAGGGGAGGCCAAAUAUCAACUUGACCCUGAAAAGGUCGAAGCCAUCAUAGACACGGUGAGGGAGAAAUUCCCCAACACCACGGUCAGCGAGAUCCGGGCCCUGCUGCGGAGGAAAUGCAACAAUGAGGGCUACACCAAGGUUGCUCCUCAGUAGCUUUAUUCUAUAUGUUAUAUAUGUUAGACGUUAUAAAGUUAGGUGUUGUUGAAUGUAUGUUUGUAUUAAUAUUUGAAUUAAAGUUUUGGUUUGUACAAUUAAA